UCCUGGCUCAGAUUGAACGCUGGCGGCAUGCCUUACACAUGCAAGUCGAACGGCAGCGGACCUUCGGGUGCCGGCGAGUGGCGAACGGGUGAGUAAUGCAUCGGAACGUGCCAUUGAGUGGGGGAUAACGUAGCGAAAGUUACGCUAAUACCGCAUAUUCUGUGAGCAGGAAAGCAGGGGACCGCAAGGCCUUGCGCUCUUUGAGCGGCCGAUGUCAGAUUAGCUAGUUGGUGAGGUAAAGGCUUACCAAGGCGACGAUCUGUAGCGGGUCUGAGAGGAUGAUCCGCCGCACUGGAACUGAGACACGGUCCAGACUCCUACGGGAGGCAGCAGUGGGGAAUUUUGGACAAUGGGCGCAAGCCUGAUCCAGCCAUGCCGCGUGAGUGAAGAAGGCCUUCGGGUUGUAAAGCUCUUUCGGCCGGGAAGAAAUCGCAUGGGUUAAGUACCCUGUGUGGAUGACGGUACCGGAAUAAGAAGCACCGGCUAACUACGUG
rnacentral:rRNA from 1 species